AUACUCUGGUUUCCCUUGGGAUGAUAUAAAUCUUUCAUCCUUUACUAAAGAUUACAGAGGAGAGGAAUACCUUUGAGUCUUGAGCCAAGUUUUUGAUGAGCCAAGUUUUUGACAA